rnacentral:rRNA from 1 species
AGCAUGUCUAGCAUGCGAGUCAUUGUAGCAUACAAGGCAUACGGCUCAGUAACGCGUAGUCAACCUAACCUAUGGACGGGAAUAACCUCGGGAAACUGAGAAUAAUGCCCGAUAGAACACUAUACCUGGAAUGGUUUGUGUUCCAAAUGAUUUAUCGCCAUAGGAUGGGACUGCGGCCUAUCAGUUUGUUGGUGAGGUAAUGGCCCACCAAGACUAUUACAGGUACGGGCUCUGAGAGGAGUAGCCCGGAGAUGGGUACUGAGACACGGACCCAGGCCCUAUGGGGCGCAGCAGGCGAGAAAACUUUGCAAUGUGCGAAAGCACGACAAGGUUAAUCCGAGUGAUUUGUGCUAAACGAAUCUUUUGUUAGUCCUAGAAACACUAACGAAUAAGGGGUGGGCAAGUUCUGGUGUCAGCCGCCGCGGUAAAACCAGCACCUCAAGUGGUCAGGAUGAUUAUUGGGCCUAAAGCAUCCGUAGCCGGCUCUGUAAGUUUUCGGUUAAAUCUGUACGCUUAACGUACAGGCUGCCGGGAAUACUGCAAAGCUAGGGAGUGCGAGAGGUAGACGGUACUCGGUAGGAAGUGGUAAAAUGCUUUGAUCUAUCGAUGACCACCUGUGGCGAAAGGCGGUCUACCAGAACACGUCCGACGGUGAGGGAUGAAGCUGGGGGGAGCAACCCGGAUUAGAUACCCCGGGUUAGUCCAGCUGUAACUAUGCAACUCAGUGAAUGCAAUCACUGUGCCAUGCAGUGCUGCCAGGG